rnacentral:rRNA from 1 species
AUUGAACGCUGGCGGCAGGCCUAACACAUGCAAGUCGAGCGGAUGAAGGGAGCUUGCUCCUGGAUUCAGCGGCGGACGGGUGAGUAAUGCCUAGGAAUCUGCCUGGUAGUGGGGGAUAACGUCCGGAAACGGGCGCUAAUACCGCAUACGUCCUGAGGGAGAAAGUGGGGGAUCUUCGGACCUCACGCUAUCAGAUGAGCCUAGGUCGGAUUAGCUAGUUGGUGGGGUAAAGGCCUACCAAGGCGACGAUCCGUAACUGGUCCGAGACGAUGAUCAGUCACACUGGAACUGAGACACGGUCCAGACUCCUACGGGAGGCAGCAGUGGGGAAUAUUGGACAAUGGGCGAAAGCCUGAUCCAGCCAUGCCGCGUGUGUGAAGAAGGUCUUCGGAUUGUAAAGCACUUUAAGUUGGGAGGAAGGGCAGUAAGUUAAUACCUUGCUGUUUUGACGUUACCAACAGAAUAAGCACCGGCUAACUUCGUG